CCUAACAUGUCUUGUUGUCAGUGGUCAAACAUCAUUGACAAGAGUUCAAAUUGAGAUUUAACAGCUGUCUGAUUUUGUACAAAAACUAGUUUUAUGUGACCAUCAUGUCUAAUAAGGUUUCUUUGUCUUGGUUUUUGUUAAAACAGGAUUCGAUGGAAACUCUCCUGGAAAUGAACUAAAUGAGCUAAAGGAUUUUACAGAUGAUGUGAAGAUCUCUGAACAAGAAACACGUGCUGAUGUCACACAAGAAGAGACACCGAGACCAGAGCUCAAAGAAGAUGAAAGUGAACGGUUAAUUUAUGUUCAAGAGACUGCCAUUAGUAAAGCAUUUGGUGCUGA